rnacentral:rRNA from 1 species
UCCUUCGGGGGGCCUGCAGUGGGGAAUAUUGCACAAUGGGCGAAAGCCUGAUGCAGCGACGCCGCGUGGGGGAUGACGGCCUUCGGGUUGUAAACUCCUUUCAGUAGGGAAGAAGCGAGAGUGACGGUACCUGCAGAAGAAGCGCCGGCUAACUACGUGCCAGCAGCCGCGGUAAUACGUAGGGCGCAAGCGUUGUCCGGAAUUAUUGGGCGUAAAGAGCUUGUAGGUGGCUUGUCGCGUCUGCCGUGAAAACCCGAGGCUCAACCUCGGGCGUGCGGUGGGUACGGGCAGGCUAGAGUGUGGUAGGGGAGACUGGAACUCCUGGUGUAGCGGUGAACUUUCACAUAUCAGGAAGAACACCGAUGGCGAAGGCAGGUCUCUGGCCAUACUGACACUGAGGAGCCGAAAGGCCUG